CGGGAGUAACGCGUGGGUAACCUGCCUCAUACAGGGGAGUAACAGUUAGAAAUGACUGCUAAUACCGCAUAAGCGCACGGGACUGCAUGGUCCAGUGUGAAAAACUACCGGUGGUAUGAGAUGGACCCGCGUCUGAUUAGCUAGUUGGUGAGGUAACGGCCCACCAAGGCGACGAUCAGUAGCCGACCUGAGAGGGUGACCGGCCACAUUGGGACUGAGACACGGCCCAA
rnacentral:rRNA from 1 species